rnacentral:rRNA from 1 species
UGCCUAANNGUGAGGAAUACCCUCGAGAAAUCGAGGUUAAUACUGCAUACGUCCCUUCGGGGAGAAAGGUGGCCUCUUUGCUGCCGCUGAAGGAUGAGCUUGCGUGCUAUUAGCUAGUUGGUGAGGUAA